rnacentral:rRNA from 1 species
UCUGCAUGGGCGAAAGCUGACGGUUCACGCCGCGUGGAUGAAGAAUCUUUCGGGACGUAAAAUCCUUUCAGCAGGGACGAAGCGAGUGACGGUACCUGCAGAAGAAGCAUCGGCUAACUACGUGCCAGCAGCCGCGGUAAUACGUAGGAUGCAAGCGUUGUCCGGAAUUAUUGGGCGUAAAGCGAACGUAGGCGGCUAGAUAAGUUUGGUCUUAAAGACCGGGGCUCAACCUCGGGAAUGGAUCGAAAACUGUUUAGCUAGAGGAUGUUAGAGGAAAGUGGAAUUCCAAGUGUAGCGGUGAAAUGCGUAGAUAUUUGGAGGAACACCGGUGGCGAAAGCGACUUUCUGGGGCAUUCCUGACGCUGAGGUUCGAAAGCUCGGGGAGCAAACAGGAUUAGAUACCCUGGUAGUCCGAGCCGUAAACGAUGGAUACUAGGUGUAGAGGGUAUCGACCCCCUCUGUGCCGCAGCUAACGCGUUAAGUAUCCCGCCUGAGGAGUACGGUCGCAAGACUGAAACUCAAAGGAAUUGACGGGGGACCGGACAAGCGGUGGAGCAUGUGGUUUAAUUCGAUGCAACGCGAAGAAACUUACCAAUGCUUGACAUGGAG